AGUGAGCGCUGGCGGUAGGCCUAACACAUGCAAGUCGAACGGCAGCACAGUAAGAGCUUGCUCUUACGGGUGGCGAGUGGCGGACGGGUGAGGAAUACAUCGGAAUCUACUUUUUCGUGGGGGAUAACGUAGGGAAACUUACGCUAAUACCGCAUACGACCUACGGGUGAAAGCAGGGGAUCUUCGGACCUUGCGCGAUUGAAUGAGCCGAUUUCGGAUUAGCUAGUUGGCGGGGUAAAGGCCCACCAAGGCGACGAUCCGUAGCUAGUCUGGGAGGAUGAUGCGCCACACUGGAACUGAGACACGAUCCAGGCACCUACGGGAGGCAGCGGUGGGGAAUAUUGGAAAAAGGGCGGAAGCCUGAUCCAGGCAUACAGCGCGGGUGAAGAAAGCCUUCGGGUUGUAAAGCCGUUUUGUUGGGAAAGAAAAGCAGCAGGUUAAUACACCGCUGUUCGGACGGAACCGAAAGAAUAAGCACCGGCUAACUUCGU
rnacentral:rRNA from 1 species